rnacentral:lncRNA from 1 species
AUUUUCUUUAAGGAACAUGGGAAGAGUAAAGAAGAAAGAUGAGGGUGGAAGCUAGGGAGAUGAGAAGAGCAUUAGGGACAAGGAAGAUUUGAGCCUAAAUUCUAAACUGAAGGGAAGGAUCUGGCAGCAGGGGGCUGAUUAGAGUUAACAGAGAGAUAGAAGGGAGGACAGCUGAGACAAGCUCCCAGUGGAGGCAGGAGUGAAGGUCUCGAGCGCAUAACUGGAGGUCAGGGUUAGCCUGGAGCAGGAAGAGCCCCAGCCUCUGAGACUUCAGGAAGAAGAAGAAAGAGAAACCAGGGUCUCCAAAUGGUCAGAAUGUCGCUGAUGAAGGGUGUGCCUGACCAAUUUUCUUGAUGAAGUAAGAGCCAAGGAAUUCCUGCUGCUAUGUAGAACUGAAUGUGGAGUGAGAGGAGAGUGAGAAGGUUUGGAACUUUCACAAGGAGACUCGGGUAAUUAAUUAAUUGAUCAGUCAAUCAAUUAAAUGGUUUGCUGCCUCUUUUCUCUUUCUAUCAAUUCAAGUCAAUCCUGCUUUCACCGGGCUCCAAGGCAAAAACUGUGCCUGCUUGCCAUUAAUCAUAGAUAAGGCACAACCCUAUUACUUAGCAGGACAUCUGCGGCUUUCACAAUUUGACACCAGCCUGUUUCCUAAGCCUCGUCUCCUCCGGCUCCUCGUUUACUUGGCCAUGCAGCAGUCCCCUGCCCACCAUAUACUUUGAGGCCUCUGUGCCUUUGCCCAGGCCAUCUUCUCUCCUUGCAAGGCUCUCAUCCUCUUCUCCGCAUCAGUAGACUUGUAUUUAUCCUCCAAGGCACAGUUCAAACGUCAUCUUCUCUCUAGCUUCUCCUACCUAG